AGGAGUACUCAAAGCAUGCAAGUUCGUAACGGACGGUGUACAUCACUCUUGUCGCGUUUGCGUUGCACCCGGCAUGCUAGACCCUCCAUGUCGCUCAACGAAUGGAACGUGCUUCGUCUUGCAUUUUCGCUCCCUUGUGGGACCGCAGUCACUACACCACGGCAAAACUUUAGGGGCAAUCAACUGCCGAGAAAGGUUAAGAAAUCGGGUCACUUACACUGCCGGGAAAGAUUUAUCUGCCAGGAAAAUAACUGUAGGGCGUGACAUCUGCCGGCAAUAAUUAACCUCUAAGGGCAGCCUAUCUGCCGGCAUUUUUUGCGUCAGACCAUCUGCCCUGGAAAGUAAACAAGGGCUGAUUCAUUGCCGGUAUGCACGUUGGCGGGCCUGAAAAUUUCGGCCCAGAAAGCGCGCGAGGAGCCGCGGGAGACACGAAACGAUAAGAAGGCACUGGAAGCGUCACGUAACCCUAACUUAUUUCCCCUUCCCGCAUCCAGUCCCUCAGCCGCCGCACUCACCAUCCCAUCGUCGUCGAGCUACAAGCAGCACCGCCGCCUCCCAGUGUCGUCGCCUCGGAUCCCCUCACCCACGCCGCCGCCCAGUGCCGUCGCCCCAUCCUUUCAUCCACACCGCCCCUUCCAGCAUCGCCCUACAGAUCCCGUAAUCGCCCACGCCAUCGCCUCCGCAUCCCCACCCACACCGUUGUCUUCGCAUCCCCCAUCCACGCCGCUGCUGGAGGUCAACCGCGAGUUCGGAGGCGACCUCCAUGAACCGCAUAGCGAUCUUGCCUCCGUCCACAGCACACAGUCGGCCUUGGCGUCAGCAGGUUCGUUCACCAUGGCGGCUGCACUGGUGGGGUGAGCCUGACCUUCGGUGCCCUCUCCCCGCCGUUGAACUCUCGUUGCUUAUGGUGUGCCUCUGCCAUCGUGGGCAAGCCUGCAGGUCUGACGCCCACCACCUCUCCAUUCUUCUGCUUUAAAUUUCCUUGGCAUGUGUUCGUACGCUGCUCCCUCUUAUACCUAUUUGUUCCUCUGUUUUGCUUCCUAUGAAUGCACGAAUAUUAACUGGAUGAGGGCUCUGUUCUGCUUCCAAUGAAAGUACGAAUAGUAACUGAAUGAGGGAUAAAGUUUAUUCUGAAUGGUUUGCGGGAGAGGGGAGCAGCAGGGAUAGUUUUGCUUCAUGAUAAAUAUGUACUACUAAAUAUUUGAAGAGGCUAUUCUCUCUAACUGAAUGGUCCAGAUGAGUUUUACUGCAUGAUAACUAUGUACUAAAUAUGUUCUGUUUUAGUCUCUCUUCCCCUCUUGGUAAAAUCAAAUUCAUAUGUCCUCUUUAGAAUUUCUGAAUUGAAAAGAGCCCUUUUAAUUCUGGUGUCGUUGCCUUAGGACACAAAUAAUAAAUCUAGUUGUUUUCAGAUAUUUUGUUUGCAAUUCUGCAUAUACAGGGAGCCAAUAGAUGUGACUGAAUAGGGACUUUUGUCAGUCUGCUGUUCUUGGUUGUUCAGAAAUGCAUGGCUCAAGUUUGCUCUGACUAGAAGCUUUGCAAUUCUGCAUUUACAGGGAGCCAAUAGAUGUGACCGAAUAUGGGCUUUUGUGGGUCUGCUGUUCUUGGUUGUUCAGAAAUGCAUUGCUAAAGUUUGUUUUAACUAUAAGCUGGUACUAGCAAAUGACAAUGUGGCCACAUGCCAUUGUGUCAAUUGAGUUUGAGUCAGCUAGCAUAAAGAUUUUUCUCUCAAAUGCAGUUCUUUAGUACUUAAUGCCACGUCUUGUGCCCUGUGGUGUUUCUGAAAUACUGAGAUGUCUUGCUGCUUUCAUUGCGUAUAUAAGAUGGCCGGGAGCUUGUAAAACUGCAUGUCAUAUCUGAUGUUUGCAAAUAUGAUUUUGUUGUUUGCCCCCCUCCCUGGAAGUAUGAUCUAAUUAAUUUAUCUACAUUUAACAUGACAAGUUCAAUGGGUCCUUCAAGUACGAUGGAUAAUGCAUCCUAUCAUUUAUGACUUUUUCCCUAUAACUAUCUUUUACAUGUAUUUAAUUUUCCUCUUUGCUCAUCUAAAUUUUAUAUUUAGGUAUAGAGAUAUCUAAUCUUGGUUUAUUAUGGGCGACAUGAAACUGUAUUCUGUGCAUUCUCACUGCCCAGUGUGGUACACCCCAGGCCCCAGCCAUCCCUGAAUUACAUGCAUCGUCCCUUGGGAGGUUCAGUCUGUAACAUUUCGAGAAUUAUGAGCAUUUUCCUAUGGGCUGAACUAUUUGGGUGUUGCUUCUACAGAGUGUUUGUGCAAGUAUAGUUUGUAAACUCUGUUUACUAUUGUACCCUCAUUUUUAUUAAAGAAAUGAUCAGUUUUAGCUUGCUGUACAUAAAUAUGCUUAAAUGCUCUAGCUCACAUUCAAUUGUUGUUGUACUAUUUGUCCAUACUAUAAUUAGAUAGAAGAAACGGCCUACCAUGCUUCCAUUUGAUUCUUGUGUGCAAGCCCAUAUUAUGAAAUGACAUAAGCAUGUUAGAUUCAAGGAAGUUGCUGGUACGUUAUACUAUAUGUCCUUCCCGAAGUACUAAAAAAUAGAAAAUGACACAUUUUCCUCUAUUUCAUCAUUCUAUCUAACAAAUCAUUUUUAUUUUUAUUGUACUGUGAUUAUUUAUGAGGUUAUGAUAUAUUUCAUCGAAUGACCACCAUGGUAGGCAUUUUGUAUCUUUGUUUAGUAUCGGACCAUCAUUGCUUGAUUAACUGGCAGACAAUCAUGAAAUUUACCUAUCAUUUUUGUAACCGCAGAUCACCUUACUUUAAUCAGGCAACAGAGGAAGGAAGUUGCAAAGAAGCAUGAAGAGAAUAAAGAUCUCUGCAUUUUUCCUGACUGAGGUAUGAAGGAAAUUUAUUUUUUGGUGGAAAAAUCUUUCUUCGAUGUCAGAUCACUAUAAAGGAUGAGUUGCUCCACAGUGUCAUCAACGAGUACAACCACGCCGUGCUCACUAUGAUGAUGCGCAAUACAAGCUCUUGCCCUGUAAGUAUCCUGGAGAAAGAUUUGCAUCCAGUUCUCCGGUUCAAGUUCAAGCUCUUGCCCUGCAAGUAUUUUCGAGAAGAUCUGCUACAGUUCUCCGAUCGGUGCUACUCCAUUGUCAAUGGCGCUUCUCCAGCAACAACACGCAGAUCAUCUACACUAGCAACAAACCACCUGGGACACGCAAAGGAAAACUAGAUUCUGUCUUUUCCACUUCAUCACAAACCAAGCAGAAAGUAAAUCUAUCUACUGACCAGUGUAGCCGUAGUACCUAGGUCUUAAGUUAUGUAAGACAAUCAUCCUAAAUAAAACAAUACUCCAUAGUAAGUCUCUCUUUCUCUUCCCUUGUGUGCUAUAAAAAAUUGAAAAGACAAAGCACACAAAUGUUUGCACAAAUUUUCGGAAGGCAACUCACAAAUAUAUCAGCAGAGCGCGGCGUGCCGCGGUGCACAACCUGCUAGUGUAUACCUAUGUAUGUUGUGAUGUGGUACUGGACUUCUGAACCUACAAAUGUAUAUCGAUGUAUGUAUGAAGACAUGAUGUAUUGUUGAGAUAUAUUAUGAUGCAACUUUAGCUCUA